UACGUAGGCAGCAAGCGUUGUUCGGAGUUACUGGGCGUAAAGGGUGCGUAGGCGGCUUUUUAAGUUUGGUGUGAAAUCUCCCGGCUCAACUGGGAGGGUGCGCCGAAUACUGAGAGGCUAGAGUGUGGGGAGAGGAAAGUGAAUUCCUGGUGUAGCGGUGAAAUGCGUAGAUAUCAGGAGGAACACCGGUGGCGAAGGCGGCUACCUGGACAGAAACUGACGCUGAGGCGCGAAAGCUAGGGGAGCAAACAGG
rnacentral:rRNA from 1 species